rnacentral:lncRNA from 1 species
UCUCAGAUUUCAACUCUGUCAGUUUCCUAGACAAAUUCCCAAACGGAAGCAGAACAGAGGAGGUGAAAGGGGAAGAUGGGGGUGAACAGGUGAGCAGCACUAAGGAGCAGCCAGAGAGGAGGCAGGAAGAUGAGGAGAAAAACAAGGGGCAGAUAGAAGAUGAAGAUGAAGGACAGUUGGAGAAAAAAGAGGAGGUGGAACAGCCACAAACACUGCGCUCCUCCUGCACACCUACUCCUGAUGAAGGAGCCAACAAAGAGGAGGACAAAGGAAAAGGAGAAGAGAAAGAGGAGGUGUCAAAGAAGGAGGAGCAACUAGGAGGAAACAAAGAGAUGGAGGAACAAGAGAGUCCUCCAUCUGAAGAGCAGCAGGGAAGAGCUGAUGAUGAGGUGGAAGCCAAAAAAGAACAACUGAAAGAAGUGGAGAACGUGAAAGAAAAGAACGAUAUGAUGGAAGAUGAAGGGGAGGCGAAGGAGGAGACAGAAACUGUGAUGAAGAAAGAGGAGGAGGUUGAGCCUGAGACCACCAGCUUCUCCUCCUUACCUCCUGACAAAGGAGGAGCUGAUGAAGAGGAGGAGAAAGAUGUUGUGGUGGACAAAGUGGAAGAGGAGAACAAGGGAGAGCAUCACCCUACCUGCAGCUCCAAGGCUCCUCAGGAGGAGCAGCUGGAUUCUGAGAACACAAACACACCGAUUCAUCCAGCACCUGCUCCAUCCUCUGAUGACCAUGAGGUCCUGGGAGAUAAAACGAGCACUCCUCUGACCAAUGGAGGUAUGAACGAAGGGAGGACACAUUUGAUUUUUCCUGCAUCCAGUCCCUCCAGAACCAGAGCACCACCCACAAGAGCUGUUCUGAUGGGGAAAACAAGCACUUCCUCUCAUCAGCUGGCUGCUCCCCCCAAUAAAUCAAGUGCUCUUCCAACUAAACAGGAUGCUCCAAAUAGGAAAUCAAGUGCUCCUCCUCCCUUGACCAAAGAAAAAUCUGCCGUAAAAGAAACUGCUGAAGAAACUGUGAAGGCCUCCAGCACCAGAGCAGCCAAGAUGAUCCCAGCCAAGAGUACAGGUACAUGA